GGAAGUAAAAGUUGUAACAAGGUUUCCGUAGGUGAACCUGCGGAAGGAUCAUUAUUGUAUAACCGAGGUGCGAGGGCUGUCGCUGACCCGAAAGGUCGUGCACGCCCGAGUGCCCUCACACACAUCCAUCUCACCCCUAUGUGCACCACCGCGUGGGUCCCCCUUUGGCUUGUUCGGAGGGGGGCUUACGUUUUCACACAAACUUUGUAUGCAGUGUAGAAUGUAUUUUUUGUUUUUGCGAUCACGCAAUCAAUACAACUUUCAACAACGGACCUCUUGGCUCUC
rnacentral:misc_RNA from 1 species